rnacentral:rRNA from 1 species
CUCCAGUUGGAUGCAUGUCCUUCUGGGAAAGAUUCUAUCGGUAUGGGAUGGGGUCGCGUCCUAUCAGCUUGAUGGCGGGGUAACGGCCCACCAUGGCUUCGACGGGUAGCCGGCCUGAGAGGGCGACCGGCCACAUUGGGACUGAGAUACGGCCCAGACUCCUACGGGAGGCAGCAGUGGGGAAUAUUGCACAAUGGGCGCAAGCCUGAUGCAGCGACGCCGCGUGCGGGAUGACGGCCUUCGGGUUGUAAACCGCUUUUGACUGGGAGCAAGCCCUUCGGGGUGAGUGUACCUUUCGAAUAAGCACCGGCUAACUACGUGCCAGCAGCCGCGGUAAUACGUAGGGUGCAAGCGUUAUCCGGAAUUAUUGGGCGUAAAGGGCUCGUAGGCGGUUCGUCGCGUCCGGUGUGAAAGUCCAUCGCUUAACGGUG